rnacentral:rRNA from 1 species
CAGCAGCCGCGGGAAUACGGAGGGUGCAAGCGUUAAUCGGAAUUAUUGGGCGUAAAGCGCGUGUAGGCGGCUUGGUAAGUCCGUUCUGAAAACCCAGGGCUCAACCCUGGGAGGCGGAUGGAUACUGUCAAGCUCGAGUCCGGAGGAGGCGAGUGGAAUUCCCGGUGUAGCGGUGAAAUGCGCAGAUAUCGGGAGGAACACCAAUGGCGAAGGCAGCUCGCUGGGACGUGACUGACGCUGAGACGCGAAAGCGUGGGGAGCAAACAGGAUUAGAUACCCCCGUAGUCCCUGUCUCUUAUAC